rnacentral:rRNA from 1 species
GUGGGGAAUAUUGGGCAAUGGGGGAAACCCUGACCCAGCAACGCCGCGUGAAGGAAGAAGGCUUUCGGGUUGUAAACUUCUUUUACCAGGGAAAAACACAAUGAUGGUACCUGGAGAAAAAGCUACGGCUAACUACGUGCCAGCAGCCGCGGUAAUACGUAGGUGGCAAGCGUUGUCCGGAAUUACUGGGUGUAAAGGGCGUGUAGGCGGAACUACAAGUCAGGGGUGAAAACUAUGGGCUUAACCCAUAGCCUGCCUUUGAAACUGUAGUCCUUGAGUGCUGGAGAGGCAAUUGGAAUUCCUAGUGUAGCGGUGAAAUGCGUAGAUAUUAGGAGGAACACCAGUGGCGAAGGCGAAUUGCUGGACAGUAACUGACGCUGAGGCGCGAAAGCGUGGGGAGCAAACAGGAUUAGAUACCCGAGUAGUCC